rnacentral:rRNA from 1 species
GAUGAACGCUGGCGGCGUGCCUAAUACAUGCAAGUCGAGCGAACGGACGAGAAGCUUGCUUCUCUGAUGUUAGCGGCGGACGGGUGAGUAACACGUGGAUAACCUACCUAUAAGACUGGGAUAACUUCGGGAAACCGGAGCUAAUACCGGAUAAUAUUUUGAACCGCAUGGUUCAAAAGUGAAAGACGGUCUUGCUGUCACUUAUAGAUGGAUCCGCGCUGCAUUAGCUAGUUGGUAAGGUUACGGCUUACCAAGGCAACGAUGCAUAGCCGACCUGAGAGGGGGGUUGGGCCAAAUUGAAAGUGAGACGCGGUCAGACUCCUACGGGAGGCAGCAGUAGGGAAUCUUCCGCAAUGGGCGAAAGCCUGACGGAGCAACGCCGCGUGAGUGAUGAAGGUCUUCGGAUCGUAAAACUCUGUUAUUAGGGAAGAACAUAUGUGUAAGUAACUGUGCACAUCUUGACGGUACCUAAUCAGAAAGCCACGGCUAACUACGUG